rnacentral:rRNA from 1 species
GACGAGGGGUCCAAGCGUUGUUCGGAAUCAUUGGGCGUAAAGCGGGUGUAGGUGGCUCUGUAAGUCAGGAGUGAAAGCCCCGAGCUUAACUUGGGAAGUGCUUUUGAUACUGCAGAACUUGAGUGUGGGAGAGGAGUCGUGGAAUUCCAGGAUGUAGGUGGUGAAAUACGUAGAUAUCUGGAGGAACACCGGUGGCGAAGGCGG